UGGGGAAUUUUGCACAAUGGGGGAAACCCUGAUGCAGCGACGCCGCGUGAUUUAGAAGGCCUUCGGGUUGUAAAAAUCUUUUGUAUGGGAAGAAAAUGACAGUACCAUACGAAUAAGGACCGGCUAAUUACGUGCCAGCAGCCGCGGUAAUACGUAAGGUCCGAGCGUUGUCCGGAAUCAUUGGGCGUAAAGGGUACGUAGGCGGAUAAGCAAGUUAGAAGUGAAAUCCUAUAGCUCAACUAUAGUAAGCUUUUAAAACUGCUCAUCUUGAGGUAUGGAAGGGAAAGUGGAAUUCCUAGUGUGGCGGUGAAAUGCGCAGAUAUUAGGAGGAAUAACGGUGGCGAAGGCGACUUUCUGGCCAUAUACUGACGCUGAGGUACGAAAGCGUGGGUAGCAAACAGG
rnacentral:rRNA from 1 species